rnacentral:rRNA from 1 species
UACGAAGGGGGCUAGCGUUGCUCGGAAUUACUGGGCGUAAAGGGCGCGUAGGCGGGUCGUUAAGUUAGAGGUGAAAGCCCAGGGCUCAACCCUGGAAUUGCCUUUAAUACUGUCGACCUUGAGUAUGGCAGAGGUGUGUGGAACUCCGAGUGUAGAGGUGAAAUUCGUAGAUAUUCGGAAGAACACCAGUGGCGAAGGCGACACACUGGGCCAUUACUGACGCUGGAGGCGCGAAAGGCUAGGGGAGCAAACAGG